GGCCUCUCUGACAGCCCUGGAGCAGGUAAUGUCUGCUGCUAAGGUUUCCCCGACACAGGCAAGGAAAAGAAGGUCCUCACACUUUCCAUCUGGUUGUGGCAGCCAAGUUUGAGUAGGGGAAUACAGGA
rnacentral:snoRNA from 1 species